rnacentral:lncRNA from 1 species
UUGAACUGGGUUUGCUCGCCGGAUACCGGAUUUUCGUUGCCCUGUGUCUGCGUGAGAAAAUCGACCCCUUUGUCUAUGUAUUGAGUUCGAUUGGGUUUGAACAGUAGCUAGGUUCUUGAGCUCUGUUUUGGGAAUUUGAUUUUAAGCUGGGUUUAAUCGACUUUAACACUCAAUCAGUGCUGCCGAAUCUUUCUCUGCUUUGCCUUGUAUUAAUAGUACCGAUUUGGUUAAGUUUUGGGGCUGCUGAGUUGAUUAAAUAGAAUUAGGGUUCUUAUAUGUUGAUUUGGGUAUUUUGGUGUUAAUUAGUUUAGUGAUAAGGCUGUGUUUGGAGUUGGAAUUAAGACUGUGUUUGGGUUUGAGUUUUUAAUUGGGGUUUUGCUGAUUAAGGCUCUGUUUGGUACUUUGAAAUUAUUUGGGGAUUGUGAAUUAUUUGGAGUUAGUUGAGCUAAGACCACGUUUGGCUUAUUUGGAGUUAUUUGGACUUAACACCGCGUUUGGUUAUUGGUGAUUAUUGGACUAAGUUGAUUUUGGACCAUUCCCUAAUUAAUUAAGUUUUAAUUCGAGUUUAUCCUAUUAAUUCGAAUUAUUAAUUAAUUAAUUAAUUGUCCAUUAAUUAUUAGUUGAAAUUUGCGAGACAUUUGAGAAUUAUCUUUUUAUUUGAGAAAUUCUCGCUUAAUUUAAUUUCUAAUUAUAAAAAUGAAUGGUCACUUUGACAUUAUCGAGACGAACUACUAUGGUUUGCUGGAUCCCGAGUCAUGCUCUCUCCGCUUCAGACCUUGG